UUUCAGGAAUCCAAGUUGAAGGCUUCAAGGAUGCACAUUUAUGUCCGCCGAGGUGGUCCAAAUUACCAAUCUGGACUGGCUAAAAUGCGUAAGCUUGGUGCAGAACUCGGCGUUCCAAUUGAGGUGUAUGGGCCAGAAGCGACUAUGACUGGAAUAUGCAAAUAAGCAAUUGAAUGCAUCAUGGCUGCAGCGUAAUCAGAGCGUAGCUCUGGGUAGUUUGGGAUCUGCAAACACGCAAUUCAAUGUGUCAUGGACUCAG